GAUUAAGUUAUUAAGGGCGCACGGUGGAUGCCUUGGCACUAGAAGCCAAUGAAGGACGUUACUAACGACGAUAUGCUUUGGGGAGCUGUAAGUAAGCUUUGAUCCAGAGAUUUCCGAAUGGGGAAACCCAGCAUGAGUUAUGUCAUGUUAUCGAUAUGUGAAUACAUAGCAUAUCAGA
rnacentral:rRNA from 1 species